rnacentral:rRNA from 1 species
CACGAACGCUGGCGGCAGGCUUAACACAUGCAAGUCGAGCGCCCCGCAAGGGGAGUGGCAGACGGGUGAGUAACGCGUGGGAAUCUACCCAUCUCUACGGAAUAACGCAUGGAAACGUGUGCUAAUACCGUAUACGUCCUUCGGGAGAAAGAUUUAUCGGAGAUGGAUGAGCCCGCGUUGGAUUAGCUAGUUGGUGGGGUAAAGGCCUACCAAGGCGACGAUCCAUAGCUGGUCUGAGAGGAUGAUCAGCCACACUGGGACUGAGACACGGCCCAGACUCUUACGGGAGGCAGCAGUGGGGAAUAUUGGACAAUGGGCGCAAGCCUGAUCCAGCCAUGCCGCGUGAGUGAUGAAGGCCCUAGGGUUGUAAAGCUCUUUCACCGGUGAAGAUAAUGACGGUAACCGGAGAAAAAGCCCCGGCUAACUUCGUGCCAGCCGCCGCCGUAAUAC